GACGUGUUUGGUUGGCUGGCUGCACAAGGGCAACUAAGGCUAGUCAUCCCAUCCCAUCCCAUUGUUAGAGUCCGGACCAAAAUGAAGCCUCCCCAUGCAUUUGGAUUCUAGGCCGUCCGAUCCUCUUCCCGAACGCAUCCCAUCCGUCGAUCUCCAGAUGAACUCGUUCUGGUCGUCCGAUCGUGACCGGCACAGACUGCCCUUUUACACCCGUGCUAGCGCGCUAGCUCUCAAUGACAUGUGGGUCCCAGGUGAGGUGGGCCUCGGCUGUCAGUGACCGCGGAGCAUAGGUGUGACCGGUGCGGGUUUCUGUGUGCGCAGGGGCGUGCCCCCGCAUGUGAAUUUGGAUGGCCGACGAGGGCAGUUCUGGGUUUCCACAUAUUUUUGCUUGUGUGGUGUAUCGUUGGUGGCCAGUGAUGGAUAGGAGUGGGGAGGGCGACCGAUUGGUCAGAACCCUAGCUGCCAGUCCCCCUCGAUCUCACGCCCCUCUCCUUCGUCCCCUCCCCUCCGUGCUCCUGUCCUCCCCACCUCGUCAUUCUUCUCCUGCCGCCCAGCCGGCCGCCACCGCUCUCCCUGCCGAGCUGGCCGCUACCGCUCUCCCCGCCGAGUUGCCGUCCUCACACACGAUCGUCCUUGCCAUUCUAUCAGUGGAAAGCUCCACCAUGACGGCAUCCACCGGAUCCGGUGUUGCUGUGCGUGAGGAGGACGGACAUGGGAAAGGCGCAACAAGGCAGCAUUGGCGUCGCUGUGGUGAUGUGCGUGAGGAGGACGGAUGUGGGGAAGGUGCAACAAGCCGGCCCUCGCGUCGCAGUAGAGUGGAGCUGGCCAUCACUGUCGACCACUGCUCGUCGGUCGUCGUCCCUCAUCCACCAUCUAGAUUGGACGUCUUUGGCCUUGCCAUCUUGCUCCUCUCGGUUUUUUCCUCUUUAUUUCAUAGGUUCGUUGACAAUUUGAUUUUGAUUUUUUGAUUUAUGUUUUUUAGCAAGAUGUUUGUAGAUCAGGUGAAGAAGAGAGGAAGGAUCUUGAGGAAGAGUCGAGAACAAGGUGAACCUCUUUGCCAUCGCAACCCAGCGGCACAGGCGACAAUGAGCAGCAAGAAGAGGUCGUCAAGGGAAGCUGACCUACAGUGACCACGCUCCACGACGCCCUCCCAAUCAGACUCCUCUUUUUCCUCGCUCAUGCCCUAUUGCGUCAACGGUUGUGGCCUGCUCCCAGGCUGCAUGUGAGAAGAUGACACGACGGCGGUUGCUAGAGCUGUUGAACGGCACGAACAGUUUUUCUACAGAUGAGAAGAGAUGGCAGUUAUUGCACAAUUAGGAAAACUACCAAUAGAGUGAGAACAAGAUGGGGCCUAAGAGGCAACCAUAAAAGGCAGCAGGAUAAAUGGCAUUUAUGUACUGAAGAACUGUGGUUGUGUAUAUUCUCACAUUGGACUGGAUUAUUGCUACAAUUUGGUUGAUUCAGACAUCCAGUAUCUUGAAUGGCUUUCGCUGCUGGGCAAAUCAAGCGAUGGAAGGCCUCCCAGCAUUUUGAAGACAUAUUAUCCAGAUUUGCUACUAGCUUGGCCUCAGCUAAGGAACUGUUGGAGCUUCCUUGCCACUUGAGAAGAGCUUGCAUUGCGUACGCUGGCAAGCUUGCUCCUUUGUAAUGGUAUAUUCCUCGAAUGAGAGACUAUGAUAAGCUCACGAGGGACAAAAUAGGAGGUUGAGGUUGUUGUUCCCGCAAAAAAGAGAGGAGGUUGUAGGGAGACGACGGAGGGGAGUGCGUCACACCGUUGCCCUGUUUCUCUUUGCUGUCGCCUACUCGGCUUAGGGCGCUCGUUUGUACCAAUGCUGCAGGGUAUGUUUGUCUUCUUUCCUAUAAUUUCCUUUAUUGUAGUUACCAUUUGGUACCCGAUUACAAAGUAUUUGGCCUAGGUGUUUGAAUUUAUAGGAACAAACAUGUUAUCUUGCAAGUACAUAUGUAUACCAUUUUUUGGUUUAAGAAGCAUGGACUAUAUUUA